UACGAAGGGGGCUAGCGUUGCUCGGAAUGACUGGGCGUAAAGGGCGCGUAGGCGGAUAGUACAGUCAGAUGUGAAAUUCCUGGGCUCAACCUGGGGGCUGCAUUUGAUACGUGCUGUCUUGAGUUCGGAAGAGGGUCGUGGAAUUCCCAGUGUAGAGGUGAAAUUCGUAGAUAUCGGGAGGAACACCAGUGGCGAAGGCGGCGAUCUGGGAAGAUACUGACGCUGAGGUGCGAAAGCGUGGGGAGCAAACAGG
rnacentral:rRNA from 1 species